CAUAAGGGGAUUGUUUGAUUUUUUAUAAUAUGCAAUAAACUUGUACUUUUUAAUUUACAAACAUGGGAAUAUUUUUCAAGUUAUGCAAUUUUGCUAUAAGACAGUAAUCAAAAUAACCACUCAGACAGCAUAAUUGGUUUUGGAAAAUAAAGGGGAGAUCAUAUUUAUUAAAAAAUCUUAAUGAAUAAUUUUCCAAUAAAAGAUGCGGAUAACACACUUAGCACCAUUGCAAAUGAGCAGGCCCACCACCAGUUGUCAUAAUACAUAUGUAUGGGCUUCUCCUGUAGGAAAACUCCCUGACCCGGAAGCCAAACCAGUGCCAGUGAGCCCCUCAGUGGUUGCCAUUAAAAUGGGCUUCACCUGGUUUACCCUCGCGGCCUAAAAGCAAAAUUGAGUGCCUGGUGGAUUCCCAGUGUUUGUCACACGCAAUUCCAGGCCAAGCAUCACAUGGGGCCCGCAUUGCCGCUGCACCAUUGCAAAAUAGAUCGGCAUUACCAUUUAAGGCAGGACUGUGUCCCUUCUGUGGCCCCCCACAUGCUCCGCCCAAUUUUGGCCUGAAAGAGUCGAUAAGGCAGAGAUGUGUACCUUGAGAGUUCUGAACUGUAGACCUUUUUCCAGGCCCUCUUGGAGAAAGCAGAGCACCUGGGUCAAGCAUAUUUCCUGGUGAUGAAUUCCCUUUUGCUUCUUCCAUAAACCGAAUCUAUCCCAAAUUUGGUAGUAAGACGUAGAGGUAGAGGACUUUCUUGCCUUCAUCAAAGUUGAUACAACCGACUGGGACAAUCCUAAAUCCUCUAAUCUCUGGCGCUCAACAGCCAAGCCUGAAGAGCAAGGGAGGUCGGAUUGGGAUGAAGCAGAGGUCCCUGGGAUACAAGAUCUUCUCUCCCGGGGAGAGGCCAUGGCGCAUCCACUGCUAACUUGAGUAGGAGAGGAAACCAUGGCCUGCGAGGCCAAUAUGGAGCCACCAGGAUCACUCUGUCCUGCAUCAUCUUCCUGAGCACUCGGAAGAUAAGUGGAAUCGGAGGGAAGACAUAAGCCAGGUGGAAUGUCCAUUGAUGAAGAAAAGCAUCCGUCGCCAUGGCUGACUGACAGAUGGUCCUUGAAAAGAAAUUUUGGAGUUUGGUAUUCCCUUGUGAAGCCAUCAGAUCCACCUCUGGCAACCCCCACCUGGACAUCAGGCUUUGGAAGACUUCCAGAUGUAGGGACCACUCUUGUCUCGACAUGACGUGUCUGCUCAAGAAGUCCGCUUUGUGAUUAAGUUUGCCUGGGAGAUAUGUUGCCGUCAGUGAUGCUAGAUUGGUUUCUGCCCAUAGAAGGAUUGGCUGCACCUCUUCCAUAAGGACUCUGCUCCCUGUCCCUCAUUGUUUGCCAAUGUACAAGACUGCUGAAGUGUUGUCCAUCACCAGCUUUACUGAUAAAUCCCUGAGAUGAGAUCCCAUAGCCUUCAGGGCCUGCUUUGCCGCUCUGAUCUCUAAGAUAUUGGAAGGCGUUCCUGGCAGAGGAGACGGCCACCGUCCUUGUCUUGCGUGUGGACCCAAAUGAGCACCUCAGCCUGAAGCCGAGGUGUCUGUGGUUACUAUUUGGUAGUCGAUUUGAGCUAAGGGGAAACCAAUCUACAAAUUCCUCACCACCAAAGAAGAGAUCUUUUGAAAGGGCAUAACUGAUAGGUUGAUUCCAAUCAUCCCUCCAUCCGUCCCACUGCUGCAGAAACAUCCAUUGCAUCUGUCUCGUGUGCUCUGGCCCAUCUCACCAUCGGAAUGGAAGACAUCAUCACUCCUAUCACUCCCUGACUGUAGCCAUCUGCCUGGGAAGGAACGAAGAGGCUAGAGUGGAAAUCAUCUUAAUCUUUUGUGGAGGCAGAGACACUGUUCCCUGAACAGUCUGGAACCAAGCCCCCAGAUAGACCAGGGACUGAGAGGGGAUUAACUGACUCUUCUCCCUGUUGAUGAGCCAACCGUGUGCCUCUAGUCCGAUGAGCCAACCCGUGUGCCUCUAGUCACCUCCAUGUCUUUUUUACUAGAAACAGGGUUGAGUAAACACCUGUACCCUGUUGAUUUGGGGGAGCGGGAAUAAUCGCUUUCUGCUUCAAAAGCUGUUGAAUAUGAUGCAACAUUACUCUUGAUUUCUGGGUAACAUGGACUUGACAAAAACAUCCUUUAGAGGAACGGAGGGAAAUUCUAGAUGGUACCCCUUCAGCAAAAUAUUCAGCACCCAAUGAUCUGAAACUGAGGCAUUCCAGGCAGGAAAAAACUUUGCCAAUCUUCCUCCUACCCUUUCCUCUUGUUCUGACGGAUAGUCAGGAGGAUUUUUUGGGGGACUGUGAAGACCUAGACUUGCUUCCUCUAGGAAAGCCUGAGUGGCCUCCAGUCCUCUCCAAGAAAAGGAUCUGAAGGGCUCUCUAGCACCUCUGGAGCUGUGUUGCUGGAACCUUGAUUUCCCUGAGCCUCGAAAAAUAUUGGACUUAAAAGGGACAAAUUUUGACUUUUUCUUGUCCUGAGGCAGAAACUGGCUCUUUCCUCCUGAGGCGCUCAAAAUCAUCUCAUCCAACUUAGUACCAAACAGAUGGAGCCCCUUGAAAGGCAGGGUACAGAGACUCAUUUUGGAGGAAAAAUCUGCUGACCAGAAUCUAAGCCAUAAUGCUUUUCGAGCAGAGACCGAAAGGGCCAUGGAUCGAGCCGCAAACCUAGUGCGAUCUAUGGAUCCUUCAGAUAUGUAAGCAGCUGCUAGCUUAAGUUCUGCUAGACUGGAGGAUACAUCCUUACGAUCUGCUCCUUCCAUGACUGCCUUAUCAAUGCUGUCUAUCCACAGGAAUAAGGCAUUUGCAACUGAAAUAAGGGCAACAGCUGGCUUACAAGCUGCACCCGCCACCAGGAAGCACUUUUUCAGCUUUGAUACAACCCUCUUAUCCAUAGGGUCUAGUCUUUUUGUGUAGUCUUUUUGGCCAAAUGAAUCACUGCUGGGUCUACAGCUGGCAGGGAUACCCAAGCUUUUGUAUCCUCCUCAAGAAAAGGAUAACGUUUGUUAAAUCUAGUGGCUGGUGAAGCCAAGUAUACUUUCCUUGCUGCCUUUUGCCAUUCUGCCUUUAUAAGAUCAGAAACCUUUUGAAACAGAGGAAAACAUUGUCUUUUCUUGAUUGGUGUAGGUAAGACCUUGAAGGAUUUGGGUACCUCUGAUUCCUCCUCCACUCCUAAGGUGAAUCUAACCGCCUUGAUAAGAGGAUUUACUAGAUCAAUAUCCAAAGCAUCAUAUUGUAUCUCCACCUCUUCAUCUGAAAUGAGAUUUAGAUCCUGCUGAUGUUCUCAAACUUUUUCAUCAGAAGAAUCCCCUGUAGUCGCCAAAACUUCCUGGGGUUCUCUAACGUAAUGAUCAAGCUCACAGGCUUCAUGAUCUGCAGGCCUCCUCAAUGGAGCUGCAGUAUUACUGAGCAAUUCAAGCCAGCAUUCUUUGCAAAACUUUUUUCCAGGUAAGGCAGGGCUGUAGCAGCAGCUGUAGCAGCAGCUUCCUCUUUGCCAUCUGUUUUAAUCUCUGACCAUCCUCAUGCAAGCUAAUUAAAAAAAAUAAAAAAAAUAAAAAUCCUUGGUCCUACCUAGCAUGGAGGGCAGAAGCACGUGGGGCUGUGGAAUCCAUCGCAGCUGAAAAAAUAUUAUACGAAAGGCGCUGUUAAGAAAAAAAAGUGUUAAUGCCUACACACUCCCAGUCUAGCCGGAACGCAAGAGGAGGGGGAAGAGCAGACGCGAAAUAAGCAUGGCAACCUAUCGCAAGCUGCACAGAAAAAAAGACGGGAAGGCAUCGAGACCAGCAAACAUUCACAAUGAAUGUGGAAAUCUCUCCUGAAGUCAUCUCCCCACCUUUACAUGGCACGGAGGAAGACUUGCAGUGCUCUGCCCAGUCCGUCUACCCAUUAUUACCUAACGGGUCUCUGGAGCUCCCAGCCAGGUAAUACCACCUCUGGUCUGAAAAACCGGAACAGAAAGAAAAAAAGACGUGGGUGAGAUCUUCCGGUCCUCUUUUAAAGUUUUGCUUGGGGAGGUUCCUUCUGGUCUGGGGGCGGGGCAGGGGGGCUACCCCCGAUUGUUAAUGCUGAUAUGGUGUGGCCAGGAAAGAUAAAUAUAUGGGAAGGCCGGUAUAUUAUUUUCCAGAAAAGGUGGCAACCCUACCUGCCAACCACCACAUAGGACCAGCAUUGCCACCACUCAACAGAUUCUCCGUUUUUAUACUUGUACAGGCUUGUCAAUCCUAGAAAAAAACUUAGAGGCAUCAUUACUAAAAUGUGAUUUUCUCCCACCCUCACUCUGUUUACUACCACUCUCCCUUGCUAUCCUAGUCCCACCCACAGAUUUUCCCUCCUCUCUAGCAGCCUAUUGUUUUCCAACAGAACCCCCCCCCCCCAGACUGGUCUCACCACCUCCCCCAGCAGCUAGCCCAUUGCUUACAAACAAGAAACCCCCAUACUGAUUUCAUUGCCUUUUCCAGCAGCCCAUUGUUUCCACAAAACAACUGACUGGUGUCGUCUGGCAUGUUACUACACACAGCCCUUAUUGGGCUUCGCUUGUAGCCACUGCACUCUCUUAUUAAUGUGCUGUCUAAGGAAAGAAGGCAAGCAGAACUGUUUUUCAGCAAGAAACACAAUGUGACUUUUGCAUCAGUAUGAGUCCAAGAAGACCAGAUAAUGUACUGAAAUGUCAAACCACAAAAUGCUACUGCUUGAGUUAUUUUCAGGAAGCGGAGAAUCUUGUUUCCACAGUGAUCCCGUUGCAUCUGAGUGCAGCGGUGCCCAAAGUAGCUGUAUACCUAAAAGAAUCCUUCGGAAACGCUACGCGAAUUGACUAUGGCACAGAUGAAGAGUGGACCAUUUCCAGAACACUCCAAUCAGCGCUGUCUCCGCCUGGUUCAAAGUCAGCCAAGGUCUCAUUCACAUGUACAAGGCAGAGGCCGGUGGCAAAAGCGAAGAGUGUGGAACAUUGUGUGGAGCGAGUCGGUGCCAGAGCUGCAAGCUGUGUGUCACGGCGCCACUCCUUAGUGCUAGUGCUGAGGAUUCCACUGCCUUCAGCUGCUUGAAGCUUUGAAGUAGUUUGAAAAAUCACAGCAAUCCCGCCACGGUGUGUCAGGGGACAAGAACUGCUGGUGAUAAGCUCAUUCUGCAAAGAAAAACACGCACAGAUUUGGAAAUAUUGGUAAGAUCAUCACACUCACCUUCUAUGCUAGAGCUCAGGGUGCAAUGUCUAAGGGACACCACUAGGGGGAGCUCUGGCAACUGCUUACAGCCCAAGCACUGGGAGUAGAGCCAUGCAAUUUCUGCCUAUUUAAACCCCCUUAUUCCUUUAUGUUCCCUGCACAGAAUUAAAAAAAAAAAAAAAAAAAAAAA